UACGUAGGGUGCAAGCGUUGUCCGGAAUUAUUGGGCGUAAAGAGCUCGUAGGCGGUUUGUCGCGUCUGCUGUGAAAACCCGAGGCUCAACCUCGGGCCUGCAGUGGGUACGGGCAGACUAGAGUGCGGUAGGGGAGAUUGGAAUUCCUGGUGUAGCGGUGGAAUGCGCAGAUAUCAGGAGGAACACCGGUGGUGCAGACGGCUCUCUGGACCGUAACUGACGCUGAGACACGAAAGCGUGGGUAGCAAACGGG
rnacentral:rRNA from 1 species